rnacentral:lncRNA from 1 species
CAUGCUCCAAAGUCUCUAAACCCUCAUUGCAUAUUGGGCACGUCGCUGAGUUACUAAUUCUUUUGUUGCAUAAAUUUCUAAAUGUUGGGAUAUAGUUGUUGUAUACCCGCCAGUUUGUAAUUCUAAUUUUAUUUGGGAGAUAUAUAUGCCAAAGGUUAUUGUAAAAUUCUUUACCUGUAAUGUUAUUGUUAGCCAUUUCUGGGUUUGAAG